rnacentral:piRNA from 1 species
UCUGCGGUGUCACACCCCGGAGUGUGGAGGU